rnacentral:ribozyme from 1 species
UCUUCAUUAAAAAAAAAAAAUCAAUGAAAAAAUUCCAAGUUUUUAUUUGUUUCUUCUUUUUUAAGAAAAGAGAAGGCAAAUGU